rnacentral:rRNA from 1 species
GAUGAACGCUGGCGGCGUGCCUAAUACAUGCAAGUCGAGCGAACGGACGAGAAGCUUGCUUCUCUGAUGUUAGCGGCGGACGGGUGAGUAACACGUGGAUAACCUACCUAUAAGACUGGGAUAACUUCGGGAAACCGUAGCUAAUACCGGAUAAUAUUUUGAACCGCAUGGUUCAAAAGUGAAAGACGGUCUUGCUGUAACUUAUAGAUGGAUCCGCGCUGCAUUAGCUAGUUGGUAAGGUAACGGGUUACCAAGGCAACGAUGCAUAGCCGACCUGAGAGGGUGAUCGGCCACACUGGAAGUGAGACACGGUCCAGACGCCUACGGGAGGCCGCAGUAUGGAAUCUGCCGCAGUGGGCGAAAGCCUGACGGAGCAGCGCCGCGUGAGUUAUGAAGGUCUUCGGAUCGUAAAACUCUGUUAUUAGGGAAGAACAGAUGUGUAAGUAACUGUGCACAGCUUGACGGUACCUAAUCAGAAAGCCACGGCUAACUACGUG